UACGGGGGGGGCAAGCGUUGUUCGGAAUUACUGGGCGUAAAGGGUUCGUAGGUGGCCUGCUAAGUCAGACGUGAAAUCCCUCAGCUUAACUGGGGAACUGCGUCUGAGACUGGUGGGCUUGAGUGCAGGAGAGGAACGCGGAAUUCCAGGUGUAGCGGUGAAAUGCGUAGAUAUCUGGAGGAACACCGGUGGCGAAGGCGGUGCUCUGGGCCAGUAUUGACGCUGAGGAGCGAAAGCGUGGGUAGCAAACAGG
rnacentral:rRNA from 1 species